UACGUAGGGGGCAAGCGUUGUCCGGAUUUAUUGGGCGUAAAGAGCGUGUAGGCGGCCAGGUAGGUGGGUUGUGAAAACUGGAGGCUCAACCUUCAGACGUCGACCCAAACCCCCUGGCUAGAGUCCGGAAGAGGAGAGUGGAAUUCCUGGUGUAGCGGUGAAAUGCGCAGAUAUCAGGAGGAACACCGGUGGCGAAGGCGGUUCUCGUGGGCAUUACCUGACGCUGAGGAGCGAAAGUGUGGGGAGCGAACAGG
rnacentral:rRNA from 1 species